AUUGAACGCUGGCGGCAGGCCUAACACAUGCAAGUCGAGCGGAUGAAGGGAGCUUGCUCUCCGAUUCAGCGGCGGACGGGUGAGUAAUGCCUAGGAAUCUGCCUGGUAGUGGGGGACAACGUUUCGAAAGGAACGCUAAUACCGCAUACGUCCUACGGGAGAAAGUGGGGGAUCUUCGGACCUCACGCUAUCAGAUGAGCCUAGGUCGGAUUAGCUAGUUGGUGGGGUAAUGGCCUACCAAGGCGACGAUCCGUAACUGGUCUGAGAGGAUGAUCAGUCACACUGGAACUGAGACACGGUCCAGACUCCUACGGGAGGCAGCAGUGGGGAAUAUUGGACAAUGGGCGAAAGCCUGAUCCAGCCAUGCCGCGUGUGUGAAGAAGGUCUUCGGAUUGUAAAGCACUUUAAGUUGGGAGGAAGGGCUGCUGGUUAAUACCCUGCAGUUUUGACGUUACCAACAGAAUAAGCACCGGCUAACUUCGUGCCAGCCGCCGCCGUAACAC
rnacentral:rRNA from 1 species